rnacentral:sRNA from 1 species
AGCUCUUGCCUGGGCCCUGUCUGUGGGAAGCACCUUGUGACAUAUCUGUGCAUCCAUUAUUUUGGAGGUGUGACUCUCCUCUUCCAUCUGCACCAUGCCCACAGAAAGACUGUGUCGCAUAUCUGGCUUCAGCAACCAGGUGCUGUGUUUCUUGUGCCCAGGCCUUGCCUGCAGAGAGAAUUGUGACAUAGUUGGGUCCAGUAUCCAAGUAACAUGACUUUGUUGUCUGUGCCUUGCUUUCGAGAAGGAAUUGUAACAUAACCGUGGACAGGCAACCAGGUGAUAUGACUCUCCUGCCUGGUCCUUGCCCUGAAAAAUUGUGACAUAUUUCUGACUCAGCAGCAGGUGAUGUUACUCUCCCGUUUGCUUUCUACUCACAUGUUAGAUUGUGACAUACACUUCAGCCCAGUUCACAGUUGCAAUGAUGAUACUCACACCAUAAACCAGUCCAUAGCAGAGAUACUGGUGCUGGUAGCUAGACUUAGAGAAAUGGGUAAAGUCCUGGAUUACCAUUCUUUCACAUUUUGUAUAAAGUCUUUGGACAGUACAGAGAGUGUUAUCAUAGGGCCAAGCACACAGGUGAGACUGUUUCUCAAAUGCACAACCUACCAAAUGUUAGCAUUGUCACCCUCACAUGGACAGACCCCACUGGAGAGAUCUUGAAUUUCACACGUGAAUGGAGUCCACAGUAAAAAUUGUGACUGUCAUGUGUAAUCAUGUGACAACAGUUAAGAUGGUGACUCAUUUCUAAACCCAGCUCAUAGGCAGGUGAGAACUCUUUUCUCUAGACCCAGCCAACUGGAGAGAUGUUGACUCUUAUGCAUGAACCUAGGUCCACAGGUAUGAUUAUGAGUUUGUAUUAGAAAAAAAGUCUCAGAGCAAAUUGUGACUACCAUGGAUAUUGUAUAAAGCCCUCAGGUAGUACAGAGAGUUCUAUAACAGGGCCUAGCCCACAGAUGACAUUGUGACACUCGUAUGCAAACCCAGCCAACAGUAAAAAUUGACAGCUUUCCACAUGAACACAGCUCAUUGUUGAAGUUCUGAGUCUCACACCUGGAGGUGGUUGGAAAAUUGACUCUCAAAUGUGCAUUCGGUUCACACGUGGGCUGGUGACUCAAACCAAGAUUCAGCAUACCUGUGAGGCUGUGACUCCACUAAGGGGACACAGUCCACAGCAAAGAUUGAGGCUCUCAUGGAUGUAUCCAGUCUACCGUUGAGAUUGUGACUCGUGCACUUGGACUCAACAUACAACAUGUGUUGACUCUAAUACUUAGAAAUGGAAUGUGUGGGAUUGUUCAUUCCUACAUUUUUUUGUGACUGUGAUUGUAACAUACACCUUUGCCCAGCAUCUGAGUGAUUUGACUCUCCCGCCUGGUGCCUAGUACACAGAUCGGAUUGUGACACAUUGCUGAAUCCAACACCUAGGUGGUGUGGCUCUGUACUUUUGCCUCAGUGCUGCCAACAGGGGGGCAUUGUGACAUAUCACUGGACCCCACACCCUGGUUAUGUGACUCUCCUGCCUGUGCCCUGUCUUCAUGGGCCGUUGUGACAUUGCUAUGUGCAACAUCCAGGUGAUGUAACUUUCCUUGCUGGGUCCUGCUUGCAGGAAGCAUUAUAAUCUAUCUGCAUCCAUCACCCAAGUAAUGUGACUCUCUUUCUACCAGGUUGCUGCUUAGAGAAAUAAUUGUUACCUAUCACUGGGCCAGCACCUAGCUGUUGUGAUGCUUUUUUUCUACUUACAUUCUGCUCACAACUUAGAUUUUGACAUACUGCUGGGCUAAACACCAAAAAUGAAGUUACGUUUUUCCUCAGCACUUUCCUUAUCAGGCAUUGUGACAUAUUGUUUGGCCCAGAACUAAGGUAAUGUGAGUCUCCUGCCUGAACCCUGUCCAUAGUGGGCAUAGUGACAUAUUUGUGAACCCAUCAUCCAUAUAAUGUGACUUUCUUACUUGGCUUUUCCCUAUAGGAGAGAUUGUGACAUAUAUUUGAGCCCAAAACCCAAAUAAUUUGACCGUUCUUUCCUGCUAUGGCCAUGCUCCCAUAAAAGAGAGUGACUUAUCGCUGCGAUUAGC